UACAGAGGUCCCAAGCGUUGUUCGGAUUCACUGGGCGUAAAGGGUGCGUAGGUGGUAAGGCAAGUCAGGUGUGAAAUCUCCGGGCUCAACCCGGAAAUGGCAUUCGAAACUACCUUGCUAGAGGGUUUGAGGGGGGACUGAAUACUUGGUGUAGCAGUGAAAUGCGUAGAUAUCAAGUGGAACACCAGUGGCGAAGGCGAGUCCCUGGAAAACUCCUGACACUGAGGCCCGAAAGCUAGGGGAGCAAACAGG
rnacentral:rRNA from 1 species